ensembl:lncRNA
GCCCUCUGUCCGCCACGCCCCCGACGUGCCCGGCCGAAGUCAGGUUCUAAAUCCCUCGGGAGGAAUCCGAAACUCGGGUAGAGGCGCUCUCGACAUUUUCAUGGCCAUGCGGUUGGUGCGGCCGAAACUGGAGACAGCUGUCUACCACCACGGCGGCGGCGCUUGUAGGUGGCACCAGGGACGCAGGAUGAACAUGCUGCAUUUCUCAAGAUUCACCAGCGUUUACUCAUGCUAAGUAUGGUGGAGAAGGGACUCCUAGGUAUAAAGUGGGGAAGGACGGAGGCGGUAGAGCUAGAGCAGGAAUCAAGAGAGAGUUUCUGUGCAGCGUGUCACGUUGGCCUGCUCUAGCAUUUGGAAUGUAGGGUAAUCAAAUUUAUUCAACAUGUAUCAGUGGGGUGUUUUGGCACAGUAAGCACUCUUUUAAGGCUUAGGAAGACCUCAUAGAACACACAAAAAUCCUAGCCUUCAUGGAGCUUUUAUUCCAGAUAGAUGGAUAGUUGAUAAAUAAGGAAAAGGUGUGAACCUGUACCAAAUGAUUAGAAAUGUUGUGGGGCUUGGAAUGCACCUCAGUUAUAGAACACUUGUAGCAUGCAUGAGGCCCUGAGUUUGAUCUCUAGCAACCCCAAAAGAGAUAAGUGCUAUGGAGAAAAAUUAAGCAGACAGAGGUACAGAAGCAGUAUGAGGGGUGCUCAUGGAACAAGAUAUCUGGGCAGAAAACUUUCCAGGUAGAAAGCACACCAAAUGCAAGAGUCCCCGAGACAGAAAUAUGCCUAAUGUGCUAGGAACAACCAGAAGGGUAGGUGGAAAAAUGGAGAAGAUGAAGUCAGAUGUAAGAGGUGGGAGUGCUGCAGAUGAGGUGAGGCUUUUGCUCUGCUGAGUUGGGAGCCAUUGAGGGUUUUGUGUAUGAAAGUGACAUCUCUGACCCUGGAUGUCAUGCUAUGGUUUGGGUAUCGCCCAACACCCAUGUGUUAAAGGAUUGUUCCCCACCAGAACCAUGGUAUUAUUGAGGUGGUGGAACCUUUAAGGGUAGGGCCUAGUUGGAAGUCUGACAAUCAGUUAUGGGGGUAUGCCCUUGCAGGAGCUAUUGGGACCCCAGACAGAUCCCCCCUUUCUUCCUCUCUGCCCAGCUAUGAGGUGAAAGUUUCCUCUACUGCAAUCUCCCACCAUGAUAUAAUGUCUCCCUCUAGGCCCAUGCACAAGCAGCCCAUUGGCCAUGUACUGGAACCUCCAAAACUGAGCCAAAACAGAACUUUCCCCAUUAUAAAUUGAUUAUCUGAUGUUUUGGUACAGUAAUGAAAAUGGGACUGGCACCAUCCAUUUUACUGUUGGAUUGAGAAUAAGCAGUACAGUGCAACAGCUGGGUGCAGAGACCAGUUAGGAAACUACCAAAAUAGUCCAUAAGCAAGAUAUGGUGCCUUAGGCCCAGGAGACAGAGAUGAAGAUGAUGAUUUUAUGCAGUUUCCUCACAGAUUAGAUUUGGGGUAUGAAAGACAAGGAGAACCCUGAGGCUUUCAACUUAAACACCUGUUGAGAGUGGAAUUGCCAUAGCAAAGAAGGAGAUGACUUCAAAAG